AACAAGACAGACAACAUGACAACUAUAUAAGUCAUAUAUAUUUACAGCUGGAUCAAAAUCUCUAGUACUUACUACAAAACCAUGCUCUCUGUACAGAACAUCACAAAACGUGUUACACAGGCAGACACCAAGUGCAUGCUCAAAGUAAAGAGGUAAACAAUAUUUCACUUGCCUAAAGCAGUCUCAAAAUGAAUAUCAUGUAGAAUUUCAGGUUCUUCGUAAAACAAAGGUAAAACAGGAUAACUAAGUAAUAACCUAUUAAAAUGUAAAUUCUCUACUCGUACUGAGAGUCAUUUCAUUUCAGCAUGCCAUGACACCCACCAUCUCAGAUUGUUCUGAAAUGGUUCCUGUAGUUAGAAACAGAGUAGAUAAGCAUUCCUGCAACAUCAUUUUUUUCAAAGACAAUUUAAACUGAGAAAUUAAGCUAAUUUAUUUAACCCAAAUUGGCAAUUUUAAAUAUAUAGGAUUCAUAUAACAUUCAAUAAAUAUAGUACCCAACAUCAGAUGUGUACCAAAUAUAUUCUUAACAAUGAUUAAGACGAGGGAUCCAAAUAAACGGUCAAAAGCCACCCACGGACCCACCAAACCCCACACCAAGCCCACCCAAUGGCCAGUAUACAGUAUCAGUUCUCUAUGUUUGACAAGUAGUAUGAAGCUGCAACAUUAAGUCAUGUUUAUUCAUACUAUGUAAUGUAUUCUCAGCGAAUUUUGUGUAUUUUCCACCCUGUUCAGAGUCCAGCUAGUCUACCAUAAAAUAAAUGAAAUGUUUACUUCUCUUAGCAACCUAUUGCAUCAGCCCAACACUCUUUGAACAGUCCAACAACUGCCAGCUCACUAAGAGGGCUAUCCCUAUGGUGCAAUUAUCAUAUGAAGCCCAGCAAUUUGAUAGAUAAAUGGGCUAAUGACUAAAAUGUGACAACCCUAAUACAAUUAUAAAAUUAUAAACCAUUGCAUGGUUAUGUUUCAAUAAAAUUAUUAGAAAACAUCUCUAUUUUUUGUCUGGAUCAGUUAGAGAACAUAACAUUGAAACUAGAUCUGUUGUAGCCUAAUGGUUUACUUGUUCACCACUAACUAAUCCAGACCUUUUUUGAAGGAAAUAAACCACACAUACACAGGGGCCAUUUCCUUGACACAUAUCAAGUCUAAGAGAAGUACAAACUGAAUUGCUUUCAUGGAGGACUGUCUUGAAUUUUGAGAAAAAAAAAAUUCACCAUGAGCAAAAGCUAUUGGUUUUCCACCCAAAGCUGAAAAGGACACAUUGUGAUCCAAUUAAUAAAUGCAGAAAAAUUUAUAAAAGGGUGUGGCAAUAGCAGGAGCAGUGGCCUCUAGUGGGCAAAACCUGGUACUUUCACACUAAUUUAUGGGGGGGACCACAAGCAACUUCAAUGGCUAAUUUCUCUAAACAGGGAAAUAAACAAUCACCAAAUUUAUCAUGAAUACAUUACAUAGUAUGAAUAAACAAUACUGCAUGCCACAGCUUCAUACUACAUAGAGAACUGAUACGGUAUACUGGCCGUUGGGGUGGGCUUGGUGUGAGGUUUGAAAUCCUCAUGUCUUAAUCAUGGUUAAGAAGAUGUUGGGUACUAUAUUAACUGAAUAAUAUACCAAUCCAACAAAUUAAAAUUGCCAAUUUGGGCGCAAUCAAUCAGCUCAAAUGAUCUUUCAACAAAAUAAUGUUGCAAGACUGCUAAUCUAAUCUGUUUCUAACUACAGAAACAACAUUUCAGACCAAUAUUUGAUGUGGGUGUCCUAUUCCUAUUUUUUGUGCUUUUUGAGGUGGAAUGACUUUGAGGUCAAUUUGAACAUGUACAGGCAGCUGUUGAUAAUUUUGUCCAAUGGAAAGAUUCAGUGUAAAAUUGAAUUAAAAUGGUCAUCAAAAUAAAAUGUUCUUGGGCCUCCCGAGUGGCGCAGCGGUCAAAGGCACUGCAUCACAUAGAUAGAGGCGUCACUACAGACCCUGGUUCGUUCUCGGGCUGUGUCAAUUAGCCCAGCGUCAUCCAGGUUAGGGGAGGGUUUGGCCAGGGGGGCUUUACUUGGCUCAUCGUGCUCUAGCGACUCCUUGUGGUGGGCCGGACGCCUGCAAGCUGACCUUGGUCAUCAGUUGAACAGUGUUUCCUCCGACACAUUGGUGCGGCUGGCUUCCAGGUUAAGCGGGCGGGUGUUUAGAAGGGCGGAUGUUUAGAAGCGCGGUUUGUCAGGGUCAUGUUUCGAAGGACGCAUGACUCGACCUUCGCCUACCGAGCACGUUGGGGAGUUGCAGCGAUGAUACAAGAUCAAAAAAGGGGAUAAAAUACAAAAAAUUUAAAUACAUUUCUUUACAGUAGAAUUUUAAUGUUGACAUUACAUUUAGUCACAUACAUAUUUUCAUACAAGUCCUGCUCUUCAAUGGUUUUAUACCAUAACUCUCGCCAAAUGGCAUACAUUCACCAUUAUAGCAUUCACCAAAUGGCAUUCCUGUUUAGUUUUGUAUUGGGACAUGGGUGGGACAGGGACAGCGAGGGGUGCAGACAACAUCCUGUAUUAUGCUGGACAUCAUGUUUCAGCAUGGUGGUAUAUAGAAUGUUUUUUAUCCCACAAAUAUAAUGAGACGCUAUGAGCUUCAUCUUUCCACAUUUCAAUAGAUGUAGCAAAAAUAGCUUAGUUACAGUAACUCCAAUGAAGAUAAGAGAAGACCUUCACUGUGUCAUACACACACACACACACACACACACACACACACACACAGUACACGUCAAAAGUGUGGACACACCUAUGCAUUCAAGGGUUUUUCUUUAUUAUUAUUUUCUACAUUUUAGAAUAAUAGUGAAGAAAUCAAAACUAUGAAAUAACACAUAUGGAAUCAUGUAGUAACAAAAACAGUGUUAAACAAAUCAAUAUAUAUGUAUAUAUUUUAUAUACUUCAAAGUGGCCACCAUUUGCCUUGAUGAUAGCUUUGCACACUCUUGGCAAGCUCUCAACCAGCUUCACCUAGAAUGCUUUUCCAAUAGUCUUGAAGGAGUUCCCACAUAUGCUCAGCACUUGUUGGCUGCUUUUCCUUCACUCUGCGGUCUAACUCAUCCCAAAACAUCUCAAUUGGGUUGAGGUUGGGUGAUUGUGGAGGCCUGGUCAUCUGAUGCAGCACUCCAUCACUCUCCUCCUUUGUCAAAUAGCCAUUAUACAGCCUGGAGGUGUGGACUGACCUUCAUGUCUUAAAGUAAUGAUGGACUGUCAUUUCUCUUUGUUUUUUAGAGUUGUUCUUACCAUAAUAUGGACUGGGUCUUUUACCAAAUAUUGCUAUCUUCUGUAUAUCACCCUACCUUGUCACAACACAACUGACUGGCUCAAACACAUCAAGAAGGAAAGAAAUUCCACAAAUGAACUUUUAACAAGACACAUCUGUUAAUUGAAAUUAAUUCCAGGUGACUACCUCAUGAAGCUGAGAGAAUGCCAAGAGUGUGCAAAGCUAUCAUCAAGGCAAAAAGUGUCUACUUUGAAGAAGAUAUUUUGAUUUGUUUAACACUUUUUUGGGGGGAUACAAUUUCAAAGUUUUGAUGUCUUCACUAUUACUCUACAAUGUAGAAAAUAAAACAAAAAAAGGAAAACCCUUGAAUGAGUAGGUGUGUCCAAACCUUUUACUGGUACUAUAUAUAUAUAUAUAUAUAUAUAUACACAUAUACACACACACACACACACACACAUACAUACAUACAGAGAGAUAUAUACUUACAAGAAAUACAAAUAUACGUAGAAGAAACUCAGAUCGCAAAUUUUUAAAUUUAGACAAAACUUCUGACCACUCACCUUUUUCCCCCCAGCAAGGAUAGAAACAUUAAGCAUAGUUGCCCUUCGUCUAUAUAGUCUCUCUUUGCUUAUUACAUUCAUACCGCAGGUUAAACCAAGACCAGAGGGUGAGAGAGUCAUUGGCAUCUCUCAGGGAGAGUCCUAUAGAGUUCCUAGUGAAUCUCAGCCAGGUGUGUCCCUGGCCUGUCGUCAAAGUCAUAGUACUAAACCACAUUUGGCACUCAGUCAAAUAUUAGUGUACAUCACAGUCAUUUACUUUGGCCUACCCAACCUUUAUAUCAACCAAUCAACACAUAUUAUUAUCACCAUUAACAUACAGGUUCAACAGGUUUCAAUUGCUCUGGUCUUAUUGGACUAGAAGAGCGUUAGCUCAGCAUGUGAUUGAAUGAAAAUAAUGGACCCCUGUCUGCAUCAUCGUCAACCACCAGUGGAUAUUACACAUGCAUUCAAUGGUAAAUAAAUAAACAAAUGGACAAACAAAAACAUUUUGAAAUACAGUACCAAAUCACUGUAACAUUCCUUAGAUUUUGAGCUACUUUGUUUGUACCUUGGUAAUAUUAUGGAACUAAGUGCAUUUUGGACCUAGAGUGGCAUUUUGAGGGGCUGUGGAAGGAAAAUUACUUAUUUUCUCAUCAUCCCGAGCAUUGUAGCAAGCAACGCCACCUUGUGGUGGUCAGGCAGUUGUGAUGAAAUUACAUAAAAGAGUAAAAAACUGUUUGUUUGAAUUCAAUUCUGGUCAAACUUUAUUUUAAGAUACACAUAUUAGCCACUAAUUUGUAGUUUAUAAGUGUGUAUAUACGUAGCUCAUAAGGCCUUUAUUGUGUCUUAUUAGCUAUACAUUAGGCCUCAAUUAAGUGGUUUAUUAUUUAAACAUAAGUCAUGUGUUACCGGACAAUCCUUCAUUGUUAAUAUUUUCUCGCUUUUCAAGGAAAAUCCAAAUGACAACAUUGAUAUGACAAGAUACGGUUCCCAAAAAGUCAUUUCUGGACAAUAUUUCUGGUAACACUUUAGUAUAAGGAACACAUUUUAAGGUACUAUUCCUGUGUACCUUUACAAUUAAGUGUCACCAAAUUGAUAACAAUGACUGACUAAUGAAUAUACAGACUGUCAAACCAUUAGAAACAGUCCGAACCACUGUAUCAGUGCAAACACAGUACACAGAGAUGUUUGCCGUAUGCCUUCUGACACCUAACCUGGCCCUUUAAAAGGCUUCGACAUUCGAAAGCCACACGCUGUCCAGAAAGCUUGGCAACAGUCACUUAUGGCACAAUUAAGUCAGGUGUUGAGUAAGCGCAAAUUUGCUGUAUAAGACAAUCAAGAAAACAGAAACAUACAUUUUUUUUCACGUUCUAAUCUAAGCAUGUAUACAAUAACAAAGUUCUAAUAUUGUCAACAGGGGGCCUGAGAGAGGUCUUAGUUCCAAUGCUGAUUCACAUAAAAACAGGGGAUCAAAUACAACAGACCUGUGGAACCAUUAACAACGCACCUCGAACCUCACACACAUUGGUCUGAAUAAACCUCAUCUCCAACAAUACAUCUCUAUUAAACCAUUAUUGCGAAAUGUAAACACCCUUUAAAUGUAUCACGAAAAUAUGUGUGCAAACGGAUAUAUCCCUGUCUGAAAAAUGUCCACAAACAGUGAGUAGACCUACGUAUAUCUUUCCAUCAGAUUAAAUAAGCAGUUAUGAGGAUUACAGUUGCUAGGCCUGUGCUGCACCUUCAGCCACAUUACUUCAGAUUAGACAGCCAGAUUGUAAUGAAAACAAGGUUUUGGUAUGUGGAUUGAUCACACCAAUCCAAGAGAAAUAAGAAAUAGAAAUGAAAAAUGAAAACUUAUUUGAAUUAAAAC
ensembl:lncRNA